rnacentral:rRNA from 1 species
GAACCUACGGGGCGCAGCAGUGGGGGAUAUUGCACAAUGGGGGAAACCCUGAUACAGCGACGCCGCGUGAGUGAAGAAGUAUUUCGGUAUGUAAAGCUCUAUCAGCAGGGAAGAAAAUGACAGUACCUGACCAAGAAGCCCCGGCUAACUACGUGCCAGCAGCCGCGGUAAUACGUAGGUGGCGAGCGUUAUCCGGAAUGAUUGGGCGUAAAGGGUGCGUAGGCGGCCUGCUAAGUCUGGAGUGAAAGGUACCGGCUCAACCGGUACAGGCUCUGGACACUGGCGGGCUAGAGAGCAGGAGAGGG